GAUGCCUUAGCUCAGCUUAGUUGGUCAGAGCAUGGCGUUGACAAUGCCAAGGCUGUGGGUUUGGUCCCCAUAGGGACCA
rnacentral:tRNA from 1 species